rnacentral:rRNA from 1 species
GAUGAACGCUGGCGGCGUGCCUAAUACAUGCAAGUCGAGCGAACAGACGAGGAGCUUGCUCCUCUGACGUUAGCGGCGGACGGGUGAGUAACACGUGGAUAACCUACCUAUAAGACUGGGAUAACUUCGGGAAACCGGAGCUAAUACCGGAUAAUAUAUUGAACCGCAUGGUUCAAUAGUGAAAGACGGUUUUGCUGUCACUUAUAGAUGGAUCCGCGCCGCAUUAGCUAGUUGGUAAGGUAACGGCUUACCAAGGCAACGAUGCGUAGCCGACCUGAGAGGGUGAUCGGCCACACUGGAACUGAGACACGGUCCAGACUCCUACGGGAGGCAGCAGUAGGGAAUCUUCCGCAAUGGGCGAAAGCCUGACGGAGCAACGCCGCGUGAGUGAUGAGGGUCUUCGGAUCGUAAAACUCUGUUAUUAGGGAAGAACAAAUGUGUAAGUAACUAUGCACGUCUGGACGGUACCUAAUCAGAAAGCCACGGCUAACUACGU